rnacentral:tRNA from 1 species
GCUGAAAUAACUCAAUUGGGAGAGCGUUAGACUGAAGAUCUAAAGGUCCCUGGUUCGAUCCCGGGUGUCGGCA